UCUACCGGAAGUGCCUGGUGUUAUUGACGCUCGCUGUUCAGCGGUCACACACAGCCAGGGAAUUCGCUGUCAAGAGGGUGGAUGCCUGGAGCUGGAAAUGACCUAGAGGCCUUACAGAUACAUUUGUGCUUUUGUUGCUCUAAUCUGCAUCCGCAGAGAGCAGCAAGUUUUGGAAGCACAUUUGUUUCCACAGUGAGUAAUAUCUACCUCAGCCAGCAGACGGGGGGACGAACCAGGAAGCUGCUGGAGACAUCGGACGGGCAGACAGAGCUAUCAGCUGGCCGCACGCUCACUGCCUGCAGAGUCCUGCUUAUUUUUUGGUUUUAAAGGGGAUUUGAGACGGACUGGAUCUGUCUGCCCUGCACCUCCCACUGUUCCUCUGCAGAAGCCACAUCCACUGUUUCCAGCAUUUAUUCGUUUUUUUUAAUGGUCCAUUUUUCUUUUGUGCUGUUGACCAGUGUGUCAUUUCCGUGGAUGCAUUUUUUUUUUGCUUUACCCUUUUAAAAGGAUUUUCUAUUUUUUACUGCAGGCUGGUUUAAGAGUUUAUAUGUAAAUACGUAAAUGAAGGAUUUAUUUUCUCUGGAUCUGAAGGAAAUUUGAUGCACUUUAGGCCCUGGCUGUGAAACUUUUUACCCUUCUGUUAUGAUCAUUUUGUCAGGAGCUGGAAGGAGAACAUCUGGGGGCGUGUUUCUGUUGUUUUUUUAAAGUUUAUACGUUACAUCUGCAGCAGGGCUGCAUGUAAGCAUUUCAUUCAGCGUUGCUUCUGCACACGGCAAACUGAAAUGAACCUCCGGCAGGUGGAAUCCUUAAGCUGUCCCUCUCCAUAACUUGAUCCGCCUCCGUACUGUUGGAUUGGAGACUUUGGGACUCAUUCGCUGGGAAUAACUGCAACAAGAGGAGCUUCCGGUGCUUUUGCACCACCUAUGUAUUGUUGUAGUGCGCAGGAAAGUAAAAUGGACUACAAGCGUCGCUUUUUGCUCGGCGGGUCCAAGCAGAAAGUGCAACAGCACCAGCAGUACCAGAUGCCUGAGCUGAGCCGGACCCUGAGCGCCUCUCUGGCUUCCUCUUGCACCGCCUCGUCACCCAUGAGCGCCGGGGUGGGCAUGCCCGGCAGCUGCCACCCGCCGCCAUCCGGCACAACGACCGCCGUCGCCGACAUCCAGCAAGGCAUCUCCAAAUACCUGGAUGCGCUCAAUGUGUUCUGCCGGGCCAGCGCCUUUCUCACAGACCUGUUCAGCAGCGUGUUCAGGAACUCUCACUAUUCCAAAGCAGCUAUGCAACUGAAGGACGUGCAGGAACACGUCAUGGAGGCGGCUAGUAGGCUGACUGCCGCAAUAAAGCCAGAGAUCGCCAAGAUGCUGAUGGAACUGAGCGCCGGGGCCGCCAACUUUAAAGACCAGAACGACUUCAGCCUGCAGGACGUCGAGGUGCUCGGUCGGUGCUUCCUCACGGUGAUGCAGGUCCAUUUCCAGUUUCUAUCGCAGGCUUUGCAGAAGGUCCAGCCCGUGGCUCAGUCCUGUCUGGCUGAAGCCCUUGCACAGGCCCAAGAGCGCUGUGCCAACGCCCGCUCUCAAAGCUCUGACCUCGGGCCCCUGUCGGAGCUUGAGGAAGCCUCGCGCUCAUGGAAAGGCGUAGCUGAGGCCACAGCGAGGCUGAGGGAGAGGGGCCGUGACGGCUGCCUGGCAGGCAUCCAGGUUCAGCAGCUUUUUUGCUCCAACAACACCAACAUCCCAGAGCACCAGCUGAAGGAGCUCAACGUGAAGAUUGACAAUGCGUUGCAGGCUUAUAAAGUGGCAUUGGAGAGUCUGGGCCACAGUGAGUAUGCUCUAAAAGGGGGCUUUCACCUCAACCCCAAAGCUGUGGAGGCAGCUUUACAGGGUUGUUGCAGUGAAGCGGAGGCUCAGCAGGCCGGCAGGAUGCAGACCACCUCACAACCCAUCCAGUGCGAGCUGCCAACCAUCCCCGUUCAGAUCGGCUCACACUUCCUCAAGGGGGUGUCCUUCAACGAGUCCGCCUCCGAAAACCUCAAAUUGAAAACUCACACGAUGCUGCAGCUGAUCAAGGAGGCGCUGGGACAGAAUGGAAUGACGCACAGAGACGAUUCUCCAGUCACAGAAGUCCUUAACCAGGUUUGCCCUUCCAGUUGGAGAGGAGCCUGCAAGACCGCUGUCCAGCUGCUGUUUGCUCAGGCCGGUCUGGUGGUGGUUGAUACAGCUCAGAUUGAGAACAAGGAGGCCUACGCUCCUCAGAUCAGUCUGGAGGGGUCCAAAGUUGUGGUCCAGGUCCCCUCUACAUGGUGUCUGAAGGAGGAUCCAGCAACCAUGUCUCUGCUUCAGCGAAGCCUCGACCCAGAGAAGACACUUGGACUAGUGGAUGUGCUUUACACAGCUGUGUUUGACAUCAACAGGUGGAAAGACAGGAAGGAGCAAGCCUUGCCUACAAUUCAGAUCCAGCUGCAGCGAGAGACCCCAGACUACGGCAGCCCGACAGACUCUCCCGUGGGCCCCAGCUCCAAAGCUUCCAGUGGCUUGCCGAAAACUAUAUCUAAGCUGACUUCCAAGUUCACCAAGAAAGUCUCAUCCAGCUCCAACAGUGGAGGCAGCUAUUCUAUCCCGAGCACUCCGUCUCGCAGCGUGAUGACCUCUAGUAGCUCUGAGGACAAGGCCAAAGGCCUGGCUCAUAGUGAAGGGAGGCUGCAGAGUAUCCUUCAAAUGGGCGGCCUGUCCUGCACUCCCGAUUCCACCCAGCAAAACCAUCUGGCUAACGGAUCGGGGGCUGACGAGCAGGGGAUGAACCUGCCCACCGACCAAGAGAUGCAGGACGUCAUUGACUUUCUCUCAGGAUUUAACAUGGGCAAAUCCCAGCAAGCUUCACCGCUGGUGAAGAGGAGGAACUCUGUGGCUUCAGCUAACCCUACAGAGAUGAAGCCCCCCAGCGGUCCUUCACUGGCUGCCCAGUCUAUGUCUCACAGUGCCCUGCAAACCCCAGCGCAGCCGCAGCCGCCUCCACCCGCAGUUCAAAAGCAGCCUCAACCGCAGCCGCCUCCUUCACAGCAACAGCCUCAGCAGCAGCAGCAGCCGCCUCCUCCUCAGCAGUCCUCCCCACAGGCCCUGCAGUUCUACCAGCAUCUUCUGCAGCCCAUCACUCAGCAGCAGGCUCCUCCUCCACCUCAGCUCCCGCCUCAGCAGACCCCCCCACAGGUCCUCCCUCAGCAGAGAGUGACGAGCAAAUGGCUGGGCACCUCCGGCCAGCAGCAUCCACAGCAGCGGCCGCCAGCAGGACUGUCUCCACUGGGUCCCAUCGGGCAGUGGGGAUCCCCGGGACUUCCGGACCUGAGCUCAGACCUGUACAGCCUGGGCCUGGUCAGCACCUACAUGGACAGCGUCAUGUCGGAGAUGCUAGGCCAGAAGCCACAGGGGCCCCGCAACAACACCUGGCCGAACAGGGACCAGAGUGAGGGGGUGUUCGGAGUUCUGGGAGACUCGCUGCCUUUUGACCCAGCAGUUGGCUCCGAUCCAGAAUUCGCCCGUUACGUCGCCGGCGUCAGUCAGGCCAUGCAGCAGAAACGGCAGGUGCAGCACAUCCGCCACCCCAGCAAUCCUCGCAGCAACUGGCCAAUGCCUGAUGAGCAGCACCGGCCCUGGUCCCACCCAGAGUUCUACGGCGAGGGUGAGCCCAUAAACAGCAGCUGGUCGGCCAAUCAGGGGGACUCGGCCAGCUCCAGUGACGAGGCGUCUUCAGCCAACGGCGACAGCCUGUUCUCCAUGUUCAACGGUCCAGACCUGGUGGCUGCAGUUAAACAGAGGAGGAAACACAGCUGUGGAGAGCCGGAGGUGUGCACACUGCCUUCCCCGCCGCUGCACCAUAUAGGAGACGAUACCCAGGAAAGUAAAACUAAAACCUGGCCUCCAAAAGCACCGUGGCAGCACUCCACUCACACCAACACCAUGCCCAAUCCCAGUUCUUCCUUGUACCAGAUGAGCAUCCCUCCUUCCUCCCAGUGGAGUGAGUCCAUGCAGAUGCUGCAGUCUCCUGUGUGGUCCACCGCCGGCGACUGCUCUGCCUCUGCCGGCAUCUCCUCCGGAUAUCCCUUCACCCAACAGCAGCAGCAGCAGCAGCAGCAGCAUAAACCCAUGACCAAGGGCUUUAAAUCCUUCCCCCUCAAACCCGAGCACAGGCCCUCCUACCUUCACCAGUACUGACCGGAGCGAUGAGCUGGAGCUCUCGAGCCAGCGAGCGGGCCGCACCACUAAAACUGGAAGAUUUCAAAGCCUCGCGCCGGCAACAUUAAAGUGCAUGUGCCAUGCCAGCAGCAGGUCCGGCUCGUGGUCGCUUCUCCGUCUGCUGAGCGGACGUUUUCCUCAGACAAGAGUUGGAGACGGCCGUCACCCACUUGCUUCUGCAACUGAAAGUGUGUGUGUGUGUGCGUGCGUGCGCGCGUGUGUGUGUAGAAGAGGGGGGUGUGGGAUGCCCUCAUUUUUCCUCUAAUAAAUAUACUGUGUCUACAUAGCUGUAACUGCCAAAUCUCAUGCAAGAUAACUCAGAGUACAGCUACCAUCUACUGUUUCAUAGCUUGUAAAAUACUGAAGUUAAAAGAUAAAUAUUUAGUUCUUUUUAUCAAGAGGCUUUGAGCAGGCUCAGCAUAACUAUAGUAAGUCACUGCAGAGGUGGAAAUCGGAGAGAAACACUACUUUUUCAUCAGAGCUGUAACUAAUGUGCCAUGUUGGUAUUGAUAGCACUUGCAGAAUUUUAUUCCCAACCAAAGCGUUGUUCAGAUGACAAUUGGUGCUGAAGAGGUGAGGGGCGGGGCGGCUUUUUGACAAACGCCGUCUCCCUAUUGGACGACAGAACAUCUCCAUUUCCUCCUCGAAUAAUGGCGGUGGGUUUUUCUCCAGAUUUGACACCAACUUCUAUAAACCUUCUGUUUUAUUAAUACAAUAUUUUCUUGUGUACCAUUCUUGACAGUAUUAACUUUAUUUUUGUAUUUUUCUUACAUGUUAUACCAUACCUGUAUGUAGUAUUGUAAACAUCUUAUUUUCCACUUUCCCAAUAUGUGAAAAAGCACAUCUUUUCCUACAGAGUUUGAACUACACCAUGGAUCUACAAAGGUUACCAAAAAUGCCAUGCUUAAACACUAAAAUGUGUGAGGAGGGGAGUUUUCGAGCCCUUCUUCCUUUGGUUUCUAUGGCGAUGGGCUGCAUUUAAAAGCCCAGAAUGUUAUCCUUUUGUGAUGUUUGCGGAUGCCAAUGUUGCCUGUAUUUAUGAGAUGACACCAUGUUUUCAGAAAACUAACAUACUUAACAUGUUUACAGAGAAUUGUUUGCUGUAUAUACAUAUAAAUAUAUAUCUUUUUAUAGUUAAUGUGCUUUGCACAAUCAAAAAAUAGGGUUUGUUGCUUUUUUUUUUGUCUGUGUUAUCUCCCUAACUGUUGCAGCCUUUUUUAAGACAUCAUCACAGACCUUGGACUGUAACUGUUAGCUUCUCAGCUGUGUCAAAUGGUUUACUAGUGGCUUCUACAAAAGAAAAAAAA